UUUCUGGUUGACCUCAGAUCAGGUAGGAAUACCCGCUGAACUUAAGCAUAUCAAUAAGCGGAGGAAAAGAAACCAACAGGGAUUGCCUCAGUAACGGCGAGUGAAGCGGCAACAGCUCAAAUUUGAAAUCUGGCCCUAGGCCCGAGUUGUAAUUUGCAGAGGAUGUUUCUGGCGAGGUGCCUUCCGAGUUCCCUGGAACGGGACGCCAUAGAGGGUGAGAGCCCCGUACGGUUGGUCGCUAAGCCUCUGUGAAACUCCUUCGACGAGUCGAGUAGUUUGGGAAUGCUGCUCUAAAUGGGAGGUAUACGUCUUCUAAAGCUAAAUACCGGCCAGAGACCGAUAGCGCACAAGUAGAGUGAUCGAAAGAUGAAAAGCACUUUGAAAAGAGGGUUAAAUAGUACGUGAAAUUGUUGAAAGGGAAGCGCUUAUGACCAGACUUGGACCGGUUGAUCAUCCAUCGUUCUCGGUGGUGCACUCUGCCGGUUCAGGCCAGCAUCAGUUCGUCCCGGGGGAUAAAGGCUUUGGGAAUGUGGCUCUUCGGAGUGUUAUAGCCCACUGCGUAAUACCCUGGGAUGGACUGAGUUCGCGCUCCGCAAGGAUGCUGGCGUAAUGUCAUCAGUGACCCGUCUUGAAACACGGACCAAGGAGUCGUCUUCGUAUGCGAGUGUUCGGGUGUCAAACCCCUA
rnacentral:rRNA from 1 species